ACGAACGCUGGCGGCGUGCCUCAUACAUGCAAGUAGAACGCUGAAGGAGGAGCUUGCUUCUCUGGAUGAGUUGCGAACGGGUGAGUAACGCGUAGGUAACCUGCCUGGUAGCGGGGGAUAACUAUUGGAAACGAUAGCUAAUACCGCAUAAGAGUAGAUGUUGCAUGACAUUUGCUUAAAAGGUGCAAUUGCAUCACUACCAGAUGGACCUGCGUUGUAUUAGCUAGUUGGUGGGGUAACGGCUCACCAAGGCGACGAUACAUAGCCGACCUGAGAGGGUGAUCGGCCACACUGGGACUGAGACACGGCCCAGACUCCUACGGGAGGCAGCAGUAGGGAAUCUUCGGCAAUGGACGGAAGUCUGACCGAGCAACGCCGCGUGAGUGAAGAAGGUUGUCGGAUCGUAAAGCUCUGUUGUAAGAGAAGAACGAGUGUGAGAGUGGAAAGUUCACACUGUGACGGUAUCUUACCAGAAAGGGACGGCUAACUACGUG
rnacentral:rRNA from 1 species